GGACUCGUAGCUCAGUUGGUAGAGCAUUGCAUUGACAUUGCAAGGGUCAUUGGUUCGAUUCCAAUCGGGUCCA
rnacentral:tRNA from 1 species